CUACGGGGUGCUGCAGUAAGGAAUAUUGCACAAUGGGGGAAACCCUGAUGCAGCAACGCCGCGUGGACGAAGAAGGCCUUCGGGUCGUAAAGUCCUUUUCUGAGGGAAGAGGAAGGACGGUACCUCAGGAAUAAGUCUCGGCUAACUACGUGCCAGCAGCCGCGGUAAAACGUAGGAGGCGAGCGUUAUCCGGAUUCACUGGGCGUAAAGGGCAAGUAGGCGGUUGUUUAAGUUAGGUGUGACAUCUCUCGGCUUAACUGGGAGGGAGCGCUUAAAACUAGGCAACUAGAGGGCGGAAGAAGGGGGUAGAACUCCAAAUGUAGCGGUGGAAUGCUCAGAUAUUUGGAAGAAUACCAGUGGCGAAGGCGACCCCCCGGUCCGUGCCUGACGCUGAGAGGCGAAAGCUAGGGUAGCGAACGGGAUUAGAUACCCCCGUAGUC
rnacentral:rRNA from 1 species